rnacentral:rRNA from 1 species
ACAUGCAGUCGAGCGGACAGAAGGGAGCUUGCUCCCGGAUGUUAGCGGCGGACGGGUGAGUAACACGUGGGUAACCUGCCUGUAAGACUGGGAUAACUCCGGGAAACCGGAGCUAAUACCGGAUAGUUCCUUGAACCGCAUGGUUCAAGGAUGAAAGACGGUUUCGGCUGUCACUUACAGAUGGACCCGCGGCGCAUUAGCUAGUUGGUGGGGUAAUGGCUCACCAAGGCGACGAUGCGUAGCCGACCUGAGAGGGUGAUCGGCCACACUGGGACUGAGACACGGCCCAGACUCCUACGGGAGGCAGCAGUAGGGAAUCUUCCGCAAUGGACGAAAGUCUGACGGAGCAACGCCGCGUGAGUGAUGAAGGUUUUCGGAUCGUAAAGCUCUGUUGUUAGGGAAGAACAAGUGCGAGAGUAACUGCUCGCACCUUGACGGUACCUAACCAGAAAGCCACGGCUAACUACGUGCCAGCAGCCGCGGUAAUACGUAGGUGGCAAGCGUUGUCCGGAAUUAUUGGGCGUAAAGGGCUCGCAGGCGGUUUCUUAAGUCUGAUGUGAAAGCCCCCGGCUCAACCGGGGAGGGUCAUUGGAAACUGGGAAACUUGAGUGCAGAAGAGGAGAGUGGAAUUCCACGUGUAGCGGUGAAAUGCGUAGAGAUGUGGAGGAACACCAGUGGCGAAGGCGACUCUCUGGUCUGUAACUGACGCUGAGGAGCGAAAGCGUGGGGAGCGAACAGGAUUAGAUACCCUGGUAGUCCACGCCGUAAACGAUGAGUGCUAAGUGUUAGGGGGUUUCCGCCCCUUAGUGCUGCAGCUAACGCAUUAAGCACUCCGCCUGGGGAGUACGGUCGCAAGACUGAAACUCAAAGGAAUUGACGGGGGCCCGCACAAGCGGUGGAGCAUGUGGUUUAAUUCGAAGCAACGCGAAGAACCUUACCAGGUCUUGACAUCCUCUGACAACCCUAGAGAUAGGGCUUUCCCUUCGGGGACAGAGUGACAGGUGGUGCAUGGUUGUCGUCAGCUCGUGU